GAUGAACGCUGGCGGUAUGCCUAACACAUGCAAGUCGUACGAGAGUUUUUAACUCUAGUGGCGGACGGGUGAGUAACACGUGAGAAUUUGCCUUUAGGAGGGGGACAACAAUCGGAAACGAAUGCUAAUACCCCAUAUGCUUUCGAGUGAAAUGGAUUUUAUCCGCCUAGAGAGAAGCUCGCGGCUGAUUAGCUUGUUGGUAAGGUAAGAGCUUACCAAGGCGACGAUCAGUAUCUGGUUUGAGAGGACGAUCAGACACACUGGAACUGAGACACGGUCCAGACUCCUACGGGAGGCAGCAGUGGGGAAUUUUCCGCAAUGGGCGAAAGCCUGACGGAGCAAUACCGCGUGAGGGAAGACUGCCUAUGGGUUGUAAACCUCUUUUUCAGGGUAGGAAUAAAAUGACGUGUACCUGAAGAAUAAGCAUCGGCUAACUCCGUG
rnacentral:rRNA from 1 species